rnacentral:rRNA from 1 species
GAUGAACGCUGGCGGCGUGCCUAAUACAUGCAAGUCGAGCGAACAGACGAGGAGCUUGCUCCUCUGACGUUAGCGGCGGACGGGUGAGUAACACGUGGAUAACCUACCUAUAAGACUGGGAUAACUUCGGGAAACCGGAGCUAAUACCGGAUAAUAUAUUGAACCGCAUGGUUCAAUAGUGAAAGACGGUUUUGCUGUCACUUAUAGAUGGAUCCGCGCCGCAUUAGCUAGUUGGUAAGGUAACGGCUUACCAAGGCGACGAUGCGUAGCCGACCUGAGAGGGUGAUCGGCCACACUGGAACUGAGACACGGUCCAGACUCCUACGGGAGGCAGCAGUAGGGAAUCUUCCGCAAUGGGCGAAAGCCUGACGGAGCAACGCCGCGGGAGUGAUGAAGGUCUUCGGAUCGUAAAACUCUGUUAUUAGGGAAGAACAAAUGUGUAAGUACCUAUGCACGUCUUGACGGUACCUAAUCAGAAAGCCACGGCUAACUACGUG